rnacentral:rRNA from 1 species
CUGGCGGCGUGCUUAAUACAUGCAAGUCGAACGGAGUUAGAGACUCGGUUUCUAACUUAGUGGCGAACGGGUGAGUAACGCGUGAGCAACCUGACUCAAAGAGGGGGACAACAGCUGGAAACGGCUGCUAAUACCGCAUAAGACCACAGCGCGGCAUCGCAAAGGGGUCAAAGAUUUAUCGCUUUGAGAGGGGCUCGCGUCCCAUUAGAUAGUUGGUGAGGUAACGGCCCACCAAGUCCGCGAUGGGUAGCCGAGCUGAGAGGCUGAUCGGCCACACUGGAACUGAGACACGGUCCAGACUCCUACGGGAGGCAGCAGUAGGGAAUAUUGGGCAAUGGGCGCAAGCCUGAACCCCAGCAACGCCGCGUGAGGGAAGAAGGUUUUCGGAUUGUAAACCUCUGUCCUAUGUGACGAAGGAAGUGACGGUAGCAUAGGAGGAAGCCCCGGCUAACUACGUGCCAGCCGCAGC